AUUCCGUAGGUGAACCUGCGGAAGGAUCAUUACAGAGAUAUGCCCUCCGGGGCAGACCUCCCACCCUGAAUAAUUUACUCUUGUUGCUUUGGCAGGCCGCCCUCGGGCCCCCGGCACUUGCUGCUGGGGAGCGCCUGCCAGAGGACCCCAACUCUUGUGUUUAGUGUCGUCUGAGUACUAUAUAAUAAGUUAAAACUUUCAACAACGGAUCUCUUGGUUCUGGCAUCGAUGAAGAACGCAGCGAAAUGCGAUAAGUAAUGUGAAUUGCAGAAUUCAGUGAAUCAUCGAAUCUUUGAACGCACAUUGCGCCCCUUGGUAUUCCGGGGGGCAUGCCUGUUCGAGCGUCAUUUCAACCCUCAAGCCUAGCUUGGUCUUGGGCUCUGCCGGCAACGGUUGGCCUUAAAAUCAGUGGCGGUGCCAUCGAGCUCUACGCGUAGUAAUUAAACCCUCGCGUGUGAGUCCCGGUGGAUGCUUGCCAGUAACCCCCAAUUUCUAUGGUUGACCUCGGAUCAGGUAGGGAUACCCGCUGAACUUAAGCAUAUCAAUAAGCGGAGGAAAAGAAACCAACCAAUC
rnacentral:rRNA from 1 species